GGUUCAGGAUGAACGCUGGCGGCGUGCCUAAUACAUGCAAGUCGAGCGAACAGAUAAGGAGCUUGCUCCUUGACGUUAGCGGCGGACGGGUGAGUAACACGUGGGUAACCUACCUAUAAGACUGGAAUAACUCCGGGAAACCGGGGCUAAUGCCGGAUAAUAUUUAGAACCGCAUGGUUCUAAAGUGAAAGAUGGUUUUGCUAUCACUUGUAGAUGGACCCGCGCCGUAUUAGCUAGUUGGUGGGGUAAUGGCUUACCAAGGCAACGAUACGUAGCCGACCUGAGAGGGUGAUCGGCCACACUGGAACUGAGACACGGUCCAGACUCCUACGGGAGGCAGCAGUAGGGAAUCUUCCGCAAUGGGCGAAAGCCUGACGGAGCAACGCCGCGUGAGUGAUGAAGGUCUUCGGAUCGUAAAACUCUGUUAUUAGGGAAGAACAAAUGUGUAAGUAACUGUGCACGUCUUGACGGUACCUAAUCAGAAAGCCACGGCUAACUACGUGCCAGCCGCCGC
rnacentral:rRNA from 1 species